rnacentral:rRNA from 1 species
UACAGAGGUCCCGAGCGUUGUUCGGAUUCACUGGGCUUAAAGGGCGCGUAGGCGGGUUGCCAAGUCUGUGGUGAAAUCCUCCAGCUUAACUGGAGAACGGCCGUGGAUACUGGCGACCUCGAGGGGGGUAGGGGCUUGCGGAACUGUGCGUGGAGCGGUGAAAUGCGUUGAUAUGCACAGGAACUCCGGUGGCGAAGGCGGCGAGCUGGACCCUUUCUGACGCUGAGGCGCGAAAGCCAGGGGAGCGAACGGG